AGUGAUCCUGCGCCGAAGAUUUCCGGGGCUAAAACUUACUACCGAAGCUACGGCAUCAGUAAUGAUGGGUAGGGGAGCUUCCCAUACGGGUUGAAGCAUGACCGUAAGGACAUGUGGACAGUAUGGGAGUGAGAAUGUUGGCAUGAGUAGCGAGAUGUGGGUGAGAAUCCCACAGGCCGUAAACCCAAGGUUUCCAGGGGAAGGUUCGUCCGCCCUGGGUUAGUCGGGACCUAAGCUGAGGCCGAAAGGCGUAGGUGAUGGACAACAGGUUGAUAUUCCUGUACUACCGAUAACCGUUUGAGAGAAGGGAUGACACAGUAGGAUAAGCUAAGCACACUGUUGGUUAUGUGUGCCCAAGCAUUGAGGCAGUCAAAGUAGGCAAAUCCGCUUUGAUAAUGCUGGGAUGUGAUGGGGAGCGAAAUUUAGUAGCGAAGUAGCUGAUUUCACACUGUCAAGAAAAGUCUCUAUCGAGGUUAAAGGUACCCGUACCGCAAACCGACACAGGUGGGUGAGGAGAGUAUCCUAAGGCCA
rnacentral:rRNA from 1 species